rnacentral:rRNA from 1 species
AAUGAACGUUGGCGGCGUGGAUUAGGCAUGCAAGUCGAGCGAGGAAAGUUGUAGCAAUACGGCUUAUUCGAGCGGCGUAAGGGGCAGUAAUACCUGGGAACGUACCCUGAGGUCGGGGAUAGCUGCUGGAAACGGCGAGUAAUACCCGAUGAUCUCGAGAGAGCAAAGGCUUGCCGCCUUCGGAGCGGCCCAGGCGAUAUUAGCUAGUUGGUGGGGUAACGGCCUACCAAGGCGUAGAUGUCUAGCGGGUGUGAGAGCACGACCCGCGCCACUGGCACUGAGACACUGGCCAGACACCUACGGGUGGCUGCAGUCGAGAAUCUUCGGCAAUGAGCGCAAGCUUGACCGAGCGACGCCGCGUGCGGGAUGAAGGCCUCGGUGUAACGCUUGUCGNGAGAAGGCGAACUUGAUCGAUCGGAGAACAA